rnacentral:rRNA from 1 species
GACGAACGCUGGCGGCGUGCCUAAUACAUGCAAGUCGAACGCACUCUCGUUUAGAUUGAAGGAGCUUGCUCCUGAUUGAUAAACAUUUGAGUGAGUGGCGGACGGGUGAGUAACACGUGGGUAACCUGCCCUAAAGUGGGGGAUAACAUUUGGAAACAGAUGCUAAUACCGCAUAAAACCUAACACCGCAUGGUGUAGGGUUGAAAGAUGGUUUCGGCUAUCACUUUAGGAUGGACCCGCGGUGCAUUAGUUAGUUGGUGAGGUAAAGGCUCACCAAGACCGUGAUGCAUAGCCGACCUGAGAGGGUAAUCGGCCACACUGGGACUGAGACACGGCCCAGACUCCUACGGGAGGCAGCAGUAGGGAAUCUUCCACAAUGGACGAAAGUACUGAUGGAGCAACGCGCCGUGAGUGAAGAAGGUUUCGGAUCGUAAAACUCUGUUGUUGG